UCCAUUUCUCUCCAUAGAAGGAUUUCAUAACCUUCUACUAUUUUUAAGAGUUUUCCACAGCACUUAAGUAAGUUCCCAGAUUCACAAGUCUCCCUUCUACUUCUCUUGGGUUUAGAAGACUGCAGUCCCAAUUCAUCUGCCUUCAUAACAGGACCUGAGAGCCUCUCCUUACUUAUACUCCUGAAUAACUACAGGAAAAACUAGUCUGAGGGAUGGAGCUGGGGGUCCCGGUCAUCAGGAGUCCUGACCUUAACUGAUCCCGUUACUGAAAUAAUGGGCAUGCUCUGGGUAGGCGCCACAGUCCAGGAGUACAAAGGCUGGUAUCCUGAAGGACAACCAAGGAUACGCCCUCCAAGAACAUAGGCUGUCUGUGAUGCCUUUUACCAUACUGUGCUCCUCAGCAAGAGAAGAGCUGGCCAGGCAAGGAGAUGUCCCUAGAUUCUUUUGCCUCCAUGGCAGAAUAGGGGAAGGGUCACUGUACUCAGGAUAAGAGAUGAGAUGGGCUGAGCGGUGGCCUUGUAAAGACUUUGUUUCAAGGUACUACAGUGUGAUUGGCGUUUGGUGGCUGUCUGGUGCUGAGGUGCUGAAAGACUUGAGAGACUCUCAACAAGACUGUAACAUUCUUUCUCCCACAGGCUGGCCCACUCAACUUGCAGGCCUGCGUGGGCCGCAGCAGUGUCCAGAGUGCUCACCUGGACCUCUGGGAUGGAUGACAACUCAGGAAAUAGAGGCAAUUCGUCUUUCUACCCCCAGGGCAGAAAAUGAGAAGAAGAUAGAGAUGUAGGGAAGGGAUAGCUCGGAUUCUGAAUUAAAUGGAAGACUUGUCAAAGCAGUAAAGUGACCACACAGGUGAUAGAGAGCAAGAGAAAAGCAGUGGCAAGCCUCAGAGAUACCUGGUGCAGGAAAACUGGAAUAAUCUGUGACAUGGUUACCAAGGAUGCAACUUGUUAGAUCCUCGCAAGCCUUGGAGGUUGGCUGCUCCUCCAGGAAGCCUCCUCUGGCUCAUGAUGCAGGUGUAACCAUUUCCUUCUGGGGCAUCCCUAACACUUUGUAAUAUGAUGUAACAAUAUUUGUGACAAAUAAAAUGAUACAGUAAUGUAUAAGAGAAGAGAUAACAAUCUCAUUCUUUCAGUUCAUCUUCUUGAUAAGUGUGAAAUCUUUUGUGUUUCAGUGCUAACUCAAUAUGUCCCCAUGUAUUAUAACUAUUAUUGUUGUUAUUUUUACCAGAAUGGGCUCAUACCAUGCAUAUCACCUGAAAAUUUGCUUUACACACUUAACAUCAUGGAGAUUUCUCCCUUGAAUAUCAAAUACAGUAGUCUCUCCUUAUCCACUGUAAUUAUGUUCCAAGACAUUGAACGAGUGCCUGAAUCUGAUGAUAGUACUGAACUCAGUAUAUGCUGUUUUCCCCAAUACAUGCAUACUUAUGGUAAAGUUUUAUUUAUAAAUUAGGAAUAGUAAGAGGCUGACAACAACCAUUAAUUAUUGUUAGUAAAGUAGUAAGUAAAUAAGGGUUAUCUGAACACAAGUAGUGACACUGUGAUAACCCAGCUGGCUAUGGAGUGACUCAUGGGUGGCACACAGCAUGUAUGAUGGAACUGCUGGAGAAAGGGAGAAUUCACAUCCUUGGUGGGACAGAGCUGGACAGAUUCAUCACAUUACUCAGAAUGGAAGACAAUUUAAAACUUACAAAUUAUUUAUUGCUUGAAUUUUCCACUUAAUAUGUUCAGACCGCUUUUGACAGGGAUAACUAAAACCAUGGAAAGCAAAACCACAGGUAACAGGGGACAACUGUAGUUCUAAUUAAAUAUUUAAAAAACCUUCAAUAUAUUCUGCAAUUUGGAUAAAACUAAUCUAUCCAAACAUAACCCAACCUUUCUACUUUUCUGCCAUUCCAAAAGAAAAAAAAUUUUGCCUUAAAAAUUUUACAUGUCUAUAUUGUCCUGCAGAGAUUUUAAAUCUUACUGUAAUGUAGCCAAAGUAUUUUGAAUUCUUUAAAUGCUGUAAUCAGCUAAAUAAAAGUCUUUGAAAGUGAAAAAAAAAAUUUUACAUGUCAUUUUUUUUUAAUUAAAUCAUAGCUGUGUACAUUAAUGCAAUCAUGGAGCACCAUGCACUGGUUUUAUAUACAAUUUGACAUAUUUUCAUCACACUGGUUAACAUAGCCUUUUCUUAGUUAUUGUGUUAAGACAUUUAUAUUCUACAUUUAAUACGUUUCACAUGUACCUUUGUAAGAUGCACCAUAGGUGUGGUCCCACCAAUCACCUUCCCUCCACCCAUCCUUCCCCCCUCCUCCCUUUCCCCUUUCCCCAUAUGCUUAGGUUAUAAUUGGGUUAUAGCUUUCAUAUGAAAGCUAUGUAUUAGUUUCAUAGUAGGGCUGAGUACAUUGGAUACCUUUUCUUCCACUCUUGAGAUACUUUACUAAGAAGAAUAUGUUUCAGCUCCAUCCAUGUAAACAUGACAGAGGUAAAGUCUCCAUCUUUCUUUAAGGCUGCAUAAUAUUCCAUGGUGUACAUAUACCACAAUUUAUUAGUCCAUUUGUGGGUUGAUGGGCACUUGGGCUUCUUCCAUGAUUUAGCAAUUAUGAAUUGGGCUGCAAUAAACAUUCUGGUACAAAUAUCUUUGUUAUAAUGUGAUUUUUGGUCUUCUGGAUAUAUAUCUAGUAGAGGAAUUGUAGUAUUGAACAUUUUUGUUUUUCUGUAGAAUAGAUUCUCUUAAGAGAUAUUGGUAGUCAAAUUUUAAUAAUAGCUUUUGCUAGCUUGUCCAAGAAUGAACAAUUGACAUUUGUACAAGCAGGAUUUGAGAGCACAUGCAGUGCUGUAUCAGAACAGAACUGGGUAUUUUCAUUCAUUUUAUUUUGCCAGUUGGUUGGGUGAAAUUUGAUAUGAUAUUGUUGUUUUAAAUUAUAUUUCCAUGAGUAUUAAAGGGGAUGAGCAUUUUUUCUUGAGCUUUAAUGUACAUUUAAAGUUAUGUUUCUAUGAAUUGCCUGCUCAUAUAGUUUUACUAUUUCCUUCUCUAUUAGAUUAUUUGUCUUUUUAUUUUUUAAAUCAAAAUGUAGGUGUUCUUUGUGUCUUAAGAAUAUUAACCUUGGUCUGUCAUUCAUAUACAUUGUAAAAAUAAUUUGCAUAUAUUGGUUAUAGUCAUUGAACAUAUUAUGUUUCAUAUAUUGGAUGUCUACAUUUUUAUUUAUGGUUUCUGUUUUGGUGUUAUCUUUAAAAGAGCUACCCUAUGGCCAGGCUAUUCAAAAAUUAUGGAAAAAACCUGUGAAUUGGGACUCAGAGUAAAUGAGAAAAUAACUUAGUGGUAAUUGUUGUGUAUUUUCUAUUUAUUAACAGAAAUCACAAUGUAAUAAUUCUUUGAAAUGAGAUCGUAAUUGUGGGACAAAGGGAAGAAGCCAGUAGAAAUUCAAAGUAACUGGGAUGGGGUGAAGGACAUUAGGACAUUGUGCAAGUCAGUAAACUAAUUAAAUAGGAGAAAAAAGAUGAACUAUUACCAAAAAAGACACAUAUAAAAUGGAUGGAAUAAAGCUUAUUAUUUUGAUGUCACAAUAAAAGCUGGCAGGCUGAAUUUCAGUAUCAAAAGGCAAAGACUGUCAGAUUUGUUAAAAAUAAAAGUCAUUUUAAAAUUACUUGUAAAAAUACACAUUAAAGCAAAGGAAUAAAAUAUAUUAAAAACAAAGAGAUAAGAAAAGAUACACUGGAGAAAUUCAAACUAAAAGGACAAUACUAGUAUAAAUAAAGCAGAAUUCAAGGCCCCAAACCUGUCUUUGAUUAGGGCAUUAUAAAAGCUAUCCACAUAACAAAAACAUUUGUACUCCCUUAAUAUUUUGAAAUUAAAAAAAAAAAGAGCUACAAUAGAAACAAAAACAACAAUAACAAAAAAAUUGGUGUUAGUUUACCAAGGAAGCCAGGAUUGGAGGAGUUAAGAUUCUGGAAUGAAGGGAAGAACAUUCACUGGUUUGUGAGAUUAACAGACUGGAGGUUGAGGAGCUAAAGAAAUUUAACAGUGGUAUUAAGGUGGAGAGGAUCUAUGAUUGGUGUUCAGAGCUCUUCAAAGUGGAGUGCACACCAGGCUUUCAUCUGGGAUGACUAAAAAUACCCCUUAGGUGCCAGGGUAAACUAGAAAUAGACCAGCUUUACAAGUACCAGCCUUAAAUAAACUCAGUCCUUGACUGGAUUAAUGGGAUUUGUGCUUACUCUAAUUGCCUGCUAAAGCUAAAACACACCUUGCCAGAGAACAAUAACAACAGAAUAUCCACACAUUUUCUCUCAGUAUUAUAGAAUAAAUAAAAAAAUUACUAGGCAUACUAAUGGACAGAAUCAAGAUUAAAAAAAGAUACAACCCAGAAAAUAGAAAACCCCAGGUAAUUCAGAUAUCUAGUUACUUGUGAUAUUUCAGAAAAUAGAAAUAUGAAAUUAAUAAAAAAGAAUCAAAUGGAAAAAUCUAGAACUAAAAAUACAGUAACUGAAAUUAAGAAUACAGCAGAGUAGAAGUAGCUGUUAAGAGGAUUAAUAAUCUAGAAGGAAAAAAAAACAAAAAAAACCCCAACUACCCAGACUAAUGCAAAAAGAGAGAAAAAAGGUAGAAAAUGCAAGAAAGUGUUUGAGUUCCAGAUAUGAAGGAGAGAGAAAAUGGAGGCAGAAGAAAUAUUUGAAAAGAUAAUGUUUUGGAAAAGGUUAUGUAGUAUGGGUUCUAAUUCCUCUUUGAAGGUUUGGUAGAAUUCUGAUGUGAAGCCAUCUGGUCCUGGACUUUUCUUUGUUGGGAGAUUUUGUACAGUUGAUGCUAUUUCAGUGCUUGUUAUAGGUCUAUUUAAAAUUUCUAAUUCUUUUUGGUUGAGUCUAGGAAGAUGGCACACUUCCAGGUAUUGGUCCAUUUCCUCCAGAUUAUCAUAUUGCUGAGAAUAGAAUUUUUUGUAGUAAUCAUUUAGGAUUUUUUUGAAUUUCUGUGGUAUUUGUUGUUAUUUUUCCUUUUUUGUUUCUGAUUAAUGCUUUUUUUUUGUGUGUGUGUAUGUGUUUGUGCAGUUUUUGGCCAGGGACGGGCUUGAACCCGUCACCUUUGGUAUAUGGGGCCGGCACCCUACUCACUGAGCCAUAGGUGCCACCCUGACAUUCUUAUUAGAGAUUUUACUUUUCUGAUUCUGGCUAGGCUAGUCAAAGGUUUAUCAAAUUUAUUAAUGUUUUCAAAGAACCAACAUUUUCUUUCAUUGAUUUUCUGAAUGAUUCUUUUGUUUUCAAUUGAAUUUAAUUCUGCUCUAAUUUUGGUUAUUUCUUUUCUUCUAAUGGAUUUGGGGUUGGAUUGUUCUUCCUUUUCCAAUUGCUUGAGAUGACCCAUUAGGUUGUUGACUUUCCCUCUUUCUACUUUAUCAGAAAGAUGAAAGGCUUCUACUGCUACAAAUUUCCCUCUUGGGACUGUCUUUGCGGUAUCCCACAGGUUUUGAUAAUUUGUAUCUUCAUUAUCAUUUUUCGUUCCCAAAAUUUGACAAUUUCCUUCUUGUGGUUU